CUCAGUCUAGUCAGUACUACUCGAGUUAGUUUUAAAUUAAUUAACUCUGCAACGGGAAAAGAAAAAGAAGCUAAUGGGUUUUUUCCUUUUGUUUCAACAUAGGGUUCCAUGACAAUGCAAUGCAUGCCAGUCAUUGAUGUUGUAGAAACCUAGAAGUAUGAGCUCUAACGUUGAAAAAAGGUAAAGUUUGCUGCUUCAACUCAUAAAACGCCAAGCUAUUGAUGUUACCUCACAGAGUAAGUUAAAAUCCAAGAAACCAUUUCUCUCUCUCUCUCUCUCUCUCUGAACUCAAAUUUAAAAUGCAAGUUUCCCAUUCAAACAAACAUGAAAGUCACAUGCAUGCCUAAAUCAAAAUGAUUAUACCAUUAAAAAGAAAGACGUACUAGGGCUAAUGAUUCUCGAUGCAAAUGAAUAUAACCAAGCAUUGCACUUAAAGGUUUUGUUUAGUGAAAAAGAUGUUAAUUUUAAUCUCUUUUUUAAGUAUAAUGAUAGGUUUCAAACUGACCCAAAAUAGGUUUUGCUCCCAACAGGGUGUUGGAUCCAGCGUAUUUGCAUGACUUGCAAAAAACAACGCCCUGAACAGCCACUAGGCUCCUUUGUGGUUUAGGAUAAGUAGGCGGCUUAGCUGGAGAAGGCGAUGGUGGAGGAUAUGUCGGUGGAUGCACUGGUGGCUUAGUCGGGGGCGCAGUUGGCGGCUUAGUUGGAGGAUAAACUGGUGGCUUGGGUGGAGGGGCGUAAGUUGGUGGCUUGGUCGGUGGCUUGGGCGGAGGAGCGUAAGUUGGCGGCUUGCUGGGUGACUUGGGUGGAGGAGCGUAAGUUGGCGGCUUGCUGGGUGACUUGGGAGGAGGAGCGUAAGUUGGCGGCUUGCUUGGUGACUUGGGUGGUGGAUAAACUGGAGCAAUCUUGGGUGCUUUGGGUGGGGGGUAAACAGGUGGGUGAGUUGGGGGCUUAGUAGGGGAAGGGGUUGGCUGGUGGGGAUGCGGAUGCGGAUGCGGAUGCGGAUGCGGAUGGGGAUGGUGAUGGUGGUGGUGGUGGCUUGGUGGGUGAGCAGGUGGCACUACAGGCGAAAUUCCAUGGUAAUGAGGAGGCAAAGCCUCAGGCAAGAUCUGAGAAGACACCGUGAAGCUACUCAGUACGAAAAGGGAAAGGUGCAGGAGCAAGGCAGCUUUAGUUGCUACUGCAAACCCCAUAUUUUGCUUAAAGCUUAGCUGUAAGAGACUUGAAGAGAGGUGGUGAAGUUAAGUCCUUCUAAGAACUGCAUUUAUAGGGGUUAAGCCGUGAUUCUCUGCGGUUUUUAAUCAUGAAAAUCUUGUUUUACAAUAGAGUGAGGGAGUGGGGUUAGGGCCCUAAUAGUAAUUAAAAAUCUAUUCAAUGUACGGGUUAAUCAGAAUCCAUAAAAUUUACACUUAUGAAAAUAGGGUUCAUGACCUUAAAUGCAUAAACCAAUUUAGAAUGGUUUUUCAGCAGGACAUUAUUAUAUUGAGUGAUUGAUUCAAUUUAGCUUUAAUUUUGUAGCCAAGUACUUGGGCAUGGCACAUGCAUGCAGAAGAAAAAUGGAAAUUCUACCCAUACAUACAUACGGUGCAAGAAAAUGUAGAAGUUUCCAAGGACUUCGUGUAGUGGACCCUUUUAUAAAAUUAGAUUUAUUCCAUUAAAUAAAAGAUUAGGCCUCUAAAAUUAUGAAGCUUGUUCCUUUGGUUAGGGCAAUCAUAGAGUAGGCUUGAACGUUGAACAUAAAAGGAAGAUAAAGUUGAUGUCUUUAGGGUAAAAUGAUAGGAAUCCGAGCUGCCUUGGAUGAGAAUAUUGUCCUUUUCAAGGUUUUUUUUUUUUUAAACUUUUUCUAACACAAUAAUGGUUCAAUAUCAUUUUCAUUUUCUAGAAAUAAAUGUUUAUUAUUUUAAACUAUAUUUAUAAUAUUAUAUACAGCAAGCCAGGUGCUGGGCUGGCAGUACCGAAUUUCAUGAAAAAAAUUUUAUUCAAGUUUUUUAAAAUUUUAAAUUAACAAAAAUAAAAUUAUAUUUUAACUCUUUAAAAAUAAUAAAAUUUUAAUUUAAUUUUUUAAAAUUUAUAUUUUUACUAUUACAUAAGUUACAAUUUAAUUUUAGCUCCUAAAAAAAUUUUAUAAUUCUUCCUGCAACAAGCUUGUUCAACCUUAAAUCAACUGCUAUUGUUGUAAUUAUAAAAAAAAAAGAGAGUUUCCUCUGAUUUAAAAGUUUCAAAGUUGUAUCAAAAAAUAUUAUAUAAAACAAAACAGAUCAAUUGAAAGUGUGCUCACUUUUGCUUUUGUAAAGAUUUUCCAAGUCACAUUUUUAACCUUGGUAUAGUUUUUUUUUUUAAGAUUUAUUUUGGGUAUACAUUUAUUUAUUUUUUAAAUUAAUUUCAAUUAUACGUUUGAAAGCGUAAUUGUUAUAUUUUUAGUAUUUAAAAUAUGUUUUAUAUAUUAAUAUUAAAUUUUAUAAACAAUUUAUAUUAAUUACUUAAAAAUAUUAAAAAUUUAUAUUUUUAUAUAACAAUUUAUUUUUAUAAUUUUAUUACAAUUGAAAUUAAUAUUUUCAUAUUCAGUGUUAUUUGAAAUAGGCUGAAACUUAUUUGUAUAUUAACCCAAAAAUAAGAAUUGAACCGAUCUUUAAGUGAAUUACUUGAAAUUAGUAAAAAUUAAAAGUCAAAAUAAAUUUUUUUUACUAAUUUAAUUGAUUUUUAUAUUUUUUAAACAAUUUAUUUUUAUUUUAUAAAUUUUUUAAUUAUUUAUUUUAUUAUUAUUAGAAUGACAACCGAACUAAUUAAAUUAAGAACUCUCGGCUCAUUCGACAAAUGGAUAGGUUAUUAUAAUAUUGUUUCAUAUAUUAAAUUAAGGCAAAUAAAUUAAUAAAACAAAUUACAUUGAGAGAGAGCAUAUGGGAAUGGGAGCGGAGUCAGUGUGGGGAAAAGAAGAAAAAAAAACCACUGCACCUUCGCCACGUUGCUAUCUCUAAUAAGGAAACUCUUGUGACGAUAAAAAUAGACAUGGGAAUGCAAACAAAAUAUUGGGCCAACGGUUCUUUCUUCUCACUUUUUAUAAGGACAAGAUUUAAAUAGAUUAGAGGUUCUAUUAAUUAAACAACCAUUUUGUUCUACAUCACACGUUUUUUAAUUAUGGGUAUUUUUUUUAUCAAUUUAUCAUCCAAUUAAGUAUUUCAUCGAGAUUAUUUUUUAUCAAUUUUUAUUAAUUGUAUUAACAGGAGAAUGAUGUGACUACUGAAAAACUAAUAUAAUAAUAAAUUUAAUUUUCCAACUUUUAGGUAUUAUAUAAUUUAGUUUUAAAAAAUUAAUACUCAAAUUUUACAAAUGAUUUUAAUUCAUCCUAAUUCUAAUUUGUUUUUAAAAAAAUACAUAUAUAUUUUAAAUUUAUAUAUUAUUAAAUUUAAAUAUAUAUAAAUAUUUUUAAAAAUAUAAUAAUAAUUUUAUAUUUUAUAUUAAUAUUAAUAUUAAUAUUAAAUUUAAAAGAACCCUCCCCUCCACCAAUUCUAUGGCUCUAUAUUUUCCAAUGAUUGGAUGCUUGUCUUCUUCUCCACGUCUUCUAUCAUUUCAUUGUUCAAGCUCUCCUCUCUUGACUCAGGUUUAAUAGGCAGAUGCGUUCUGUACUGAUGUCUUGAUGCAAGGAUAAGAAAGACCAAUAAAUUUAUAAAUCCCAACACUGCAAAUAACCAGUAAAUGUUAUUUAACUUUCAUUUAUUCAGAUUGGUCCUUAGCCAGCUCUUUUUAGUCGCAUGAUCCACGAUAUACACAAAUAAACUGCCCACAAAGAACCCCAUUGAAAUGGUGGUAAGGAAAAGCCCUGCGCUCAUGGAUUUCAUUCGAUCUGGUGCCUCUCUAACAAAGAACUCAAGUUGUCUAACAUAAGCAAAAGCUUCCCCGCAAACCUAGGACGAAGAAUUCAAUGAAGAGCCAAGAGGCUCUUAGUUUGACUUGUUUUUACGCGUAUAAAUUUUAGUUUUACUAUAUUUUUUUGAAAAUAUUUAUUUAUUUUUAUAUAUUUUUAAAUUUUAUUAUUUAUUUUUAAAAAUUGUUACACAUUUUUAUAUAUUUCUUUGAUUUUUUUACAAUUAGAAUAAAUUGAGACCAUUUGUAAAUUUUAAGGGUUAAUUUCUUAAAUUUGUGACUAAAUCGAUAUGAUAUGUAAAAUUUGAGGGUUAAAUUUAUACUAGUUUUUCAAUUACCACGCCACCCUCUCGUUAGUGCCAUUAACAGGAAUAGACAAAAAAAAAACAAUCUCGAUUAGUUAGGACCAAUUGUAACAUCCCAAAAAUCGGGUUAGAAGAUAUUGAGUUAGUGGAACGAAGAGUGGUUACGUCCCGAGUUUGAGUUAAGGUUGUGAAAUUAUGAUAAGUGAAUUAAUUUGGUUUAGUGGCUAAGUGUUGUGUUUGUAUGUGCUAGGUUCUAGGUUUGAAUCAUAUUUCUUGAAUUUUUGUUACUUUGCCUAAACCCUUAUUUUUGAACAUUUGGUUUAUAAGUUAUUUGUGUUCAACUAAUGUCAAGAUGAGCCUAGUGGUUUAGUGAUUAAGUUCUUGUACAUCUUUUAGUUUUAUGUUCAAGUUUAUGUGAAAGCAAUAAGAAGAAAAAACAAAAAUCACGUUGCCUUUGAGAGUUAGUUUUUUUUUUAAACUAACCAAAAGUCUUCUUUCUAAAAUAUUUCUUUUCACGUUUUGUUCUUCCAACAUUCUGCUGUUACUUUCUUCUUCCUUUCUGUUCUUUUUUUCCUUUUUAUUUCCUUCCGCUAAUUUUGUUGUUAUUCUAUCGAGGGAAUUGCAUAUUUCACCAUUUUUUAUUGAAAGGUUAAUUGCAUAAGUUUUGUUGUCAAAGCUCUAUUAAUGUUUUUCUCAUUUGUUAUUUGUCGAAACUAAAUUUUUUUGCUCGUUUUGUCCAAUUUCGGUUUUUGAGGAUUCAAUUGGUUCUCUUUCUUAAGUGAAUGGGUUGCAUAUCAAGAUCCUCCAUCGAUUUAAGUAUUUGUGUUACAGGAUACGAGCGAGGGUAAGCGCUGAAGUUCGAUUUGGGGUUUUUGGGUUGAAAUUUUUCGACGAAACUUUUGUAGUAAAUAUGUUAGUUAUUGAAUUAGUUAUGAAAAUCGUUUGAUCAAGGUUUGAUUAUUGUUUUUAGGGUUCAAAAUUCAUCUUUGUUGCUUCUACGUCAAAAUAAAACCAGGUAUGUACUGAAAGCUGAGAAUUUUACAAACGAUGAAAGCUAAAAUUCGCGAUUGCCAACGCCACAUGACUGUGUGCCAGGCCAUGUGGUAGGCCAUGUAACUUUCUAACUUGGGUCACACGAAUGUGUGUCCAGACCGUGUAAAGGACUAUUUUGAUUUUGAGUCAUACGGGCAAAUGAUACAAGCGUGUGUCUAGACCUUCUGACUCUCUGACUUGUUCCACACAAGCAUGUGCUAAGCCGUGUGGGCCACACGGGCAUGUGUUAAGCCGUGUGGGCCAGCCAUGUAGGUUGUGUGGAUCCACACGGCUGUGUGGGCCAAAAAUCAAUUUUUUCCCUAUAGCCAUAAACGUCGUUCGACUCAAACGUAAGCCUUCCAUGGGGUCCGUAUGAUUUGAAACAAGCUAUAAAACUUAAUUUUUGAUGAUUUGUUGAUGAAUAAUUCAUUAUCUGUACAUAUGUCUGAUAUGAUAUAAGCUAAGUAUACAUGAUCUGUUAACGUAUAAUGUGUGAUAUCUGAAUAACUUUUUGUGUUUGAUAUUGAUUUUGAUAUGUACCAUGCAUGUGACUUUAUGGGAAUUAUGUUAUGAUUCAUUAAGAUUUGAUCAAUCUGUUUGCAAAGCAUGGAUUUCUAUGCCUUCUAUUUCUGUUAUUAUACAACACCAUGUCCAACAUGCUUAGCAUUCUAAUUUUGUAUUCAUGUCAUGACACAUUCCAUGGGUCCAGGAUGAUGUGAAAGGAAGAAGUUUCUUGUAGUUCAAUAAUCUACAUUAUUUGGUGGUUUAUCCACAAUUCUAUUUGGCAGCUUGUCUUCAACUAUGGUGGCUUGACCACAUACAUCUAUUCUAGCAACUUGGCUGCAACAUAGUGGCUUGACCACAUAUAUCUGAUUUGGCAGUUUUAACUACAAUUCUGGUGGCACUGUCUCCAAUUAUCUAUUGGUGUGAUUUGGUUGGAUAAGUUCUGGAGAAAUUCUAAUUUUGUGUGUAGCGGAGUUAGGUAGAAUAUUUUCUGAUAAAUCUGCAUUCCGAUUUUCUGAAAAAUACCGCAUUGACAUAAUCAUACAUUCUUUAUUCCAUUAUACUAUCGUUAUGAAAAUCUUUGUGACAUCUGAUUUGUUCUGCUCUAGUUAUAUGAUCGUUAUGAAAUUAUCUACGUUACUCUGAUUUGUGUAUGAUGUUUUAUUUGAUCAUUGUUUAAGUUUAGUUAUACACUAAGCUUCAUAGCUCACUCCUUUGUUUUAUCUUUGUCUGUUCAGGUAAACCUAUGACUUAGGACUAGACGGCGUGUGGGAGCUCGGAUUAUUUUUGUAUUUAAUGUAAAUAUGGUGAAUUUAGUAAUUAUUUGUUUUGAUCUUUUGGGUUUGUAAUUUUUUUCUGAACUCGUUUUGGAUUUUGCUUAAUUCGUCAGUAAUUGAUAUUUUCUAAUGCGAGACUGCAAAAUCACUUAAGUCGACAAAACAGAUUUUGAUUUUCAAAACUAAAACUCCAAAAAGGGUUUUUCGCUGCAAAUUAAGUAAUUUCUUAAGUGGUUUUUGAAAGCGAAUAAAUAGUUUUCUAAUGACUAUUUGUGAAAGUCAUAUUUGCUUAACACUUACUGAAAUCAGUUUUCCAAGUGAGUCAAUGUAAUUUCUCCAGAUUCGAUUAUAACUUCUAGACUGGGUUUAAGGUGUUACACCAAUUAAAAAAAAUCAUAGUUAGGUGACCAAAAAAGAAAAUGAUCCAUAAUUAGGUGACAUGUGGUGUAGUUUACCCUUUCCUUAAAUUAUAAGUUAUAAAUCUCAAAACUAUACAUGAACUUUAGUCUAAUGUGCAAUUUUAUAAAUAAAAUUUUGGUUUGAUUCAAUUCUCACUAAUUAUUAGCAUAAUUAUUGAUAUAGCAUCAUUUAUGUGGAUUGAAUUAUCAAUAUAUGUUGAAAAACAAAAAAAAAAUUAAGUAAAUGUGUUUUUUUUAAUUUACUGAUCUAUAUUGUUUUUGGAGAGAAAAAGUAAAAUGCAUCCUACAGGACACGCUAUCAACCACGUCAACUGAAAACGCAACUUGAAUGCGUUUUCACUGAAAGUUGACAACUCGGUUCUUUUGGUCAGAUGGUUAAAUGUUAGUGCUUUUGUCAUUAAGUUAUGAGUUUAAUUUUUCUCCUACUCACAUUUGUAUUUUUUACUUCAUGUUGUUUUAAGUUUUUUUUUUAAUUAAUAUUUUUUACACAUUAGCUAUUUUGGUUAGAUGGUUAGAUAAUUGUGAAUUCGUCUUUGAAUCUAAAGUUCAAUUCCUCUUAUAAGCAUUUUAAUAUGUAUUUUUUAUUUCAUGUUGUUUCAACUUUUUUAUUGUUUGUAAUUAAUGUUUAUAAUUAAUAAAUAUAUAUUUUUUAAGGUUUUUUUAUUUUUAAUUCAUCUUUUUAAUUAAUAACUCUUUUAUUUAUAAAAUCAAAUAAUUAUUGUAAAUACCAUUACUUUUAGUAAAUAUAUAUUUUAUAUUUGUAAUAUUUAUCUUUUAAUCCAUAUCCUGAGUGUAGUAAAUUGACAUAUUAUAUAUUUUUAUAUGUGUAUUUGAAAUAAUUAUUUGAAAUAUUUCACUUAUAAAAAUAUUUUAAAUAUCAUACCCACAAUGUAGAUGAAAAAACAAUGAUAUUUGAAAUAAUUAUUUGAUUUUAUAAUACUAGAAAUCACCAGACCCCCAUAAUAUACAUGGAGAAAAUAAAUAUUUGACAUAUAAAUAUUAUAUAUAAAAAUAUAUAUCUAAAUAAUUAGUUACUAUUUUUAAAAAAUAAUUACAUAUUUAUUAUUUAAUUUUAUAGAUAAAAAAGAUAUUAAUUAAAAAUUAAAAAAAUUGAAAACAAUAUAUUUAUUAAUUAUAAAUAUUAAAUAAUAAUAAUAAAAAGCUUGAAACAACAUGAAAUAAAAAAUACAUAUUAAAAUGCUUAUAAGAGAAAUUGAUCGUAGAACUCAAGGAUGAAAUCACAACUAUCUAACCAUCUAACCAAAGAAGCUAAUGUGUCAAAAAUAUUAAUUAAAAAAAAAGCUUAAAACAACAUGAAAUAAAAAAUACAAAUGUGAAUUGGAGAUGAAUCGAACCUAAGACUUAAGGACAAAAGCAUUAACAUUUAACCAUCUAAUCAAAAAAGCUAAGUUAUUAAUUUUCAGUGGAAACAUAUCUUGUAGGACAUGUUUUCAGCUGACGUGGCUGAAAGCGCACCCUUUAAGAUGCAUUUUCAAUGAUAUGAGUGAAAACGCGUUUCUCUCUCUCCAAAAACAACAUAGAUCAGUAAUUUUUUUUAAAGCACAUCUACUUAAUUUUUUUCUUUUUCAGCAUAUAUCAAUAAUUUAGCCUUUUAUGUUUCUAUAUCCAAUAUAUAAAUAAAUUGAUGUAUUUAUUUCUUUAAAUGUGUAUGAUUGAAUAAAAUUUACAGUUUCAUGUAUACAUUUGAAUCAUAACCAAAUCAAAGUUCAUUAUCAAAUUGCACAUUGAAUCGAAUUCAUGUAUAAUUUUGAAAUUUAUUCCAAAUUAUAAUGUAAAAUAAGUUUUGAUUGAACCAAAAAGAUAUUAGAGGUCUUUAUACUUUUUAAAAUUUUAAUUCUCUUAUUUUAAUUUUGAGAAGUUGAAUCUAUAUUUUUUAUAACUUUAUUUGUAAAAAUGUUAGGUAUAAAUAAAGCGCAACUAUGCAUGAAAGGAAUCUACACAUGGAAAUGGAAGUAAAUGAGAAGAUUUUUUUAAAGAUUACAAAAUCAAUCAAAUUAUAUAUAAUUAUACGUUAGAGCAAUCACAAAGUGUAGAACUAAACUAUUAUAGCACAAAUUAAGAACUAGAACAAAGUGUAGAAUCAAACAUUGACAAUCGAAAAUUGUGGAGUGUGUCUCGUAUUACUAGACACUUUGCAGGUACUUAAGAAGACAGUCAAUUAUUGACCUAGGAAGAGCCAAAGCAAGCACAACGUCACAACGAGGAGAACAUCGACGUCAUGAAGAGGAGCGACGUCAUGACGAGGGAAGUGUGGACAUCAUGACGAUGCGACAAACUUCUAACUUAAGUCAAUGACAACAGCGUGACAAGCAUGUAUGGGACAUCACGGUGAUGCAACGUAUUCUCCACGUAAGUAGCCAUGUUUUUUUACUCCAAAUAGGACUUCUUCUUCCAAUCAAACUUUAAUUACUUCAAGGUUAUUUAAGACAUUUUUCCUUUAGUUUUGAGCCUAUUUAAAGGGCCAAUGUAACCCUAAUUUGAUGUACCAAUUAAGAUGUAGCUACAUGCGCCGCGUAAGAGAGCUCAGAAGCGAGGGAAAUUAAGAAGGCAAUUAAUGAUGUAGUAUUACAGGGUUUUUCUUUUGGGGGCAACAAGAUGUAAUUGCAGAUGACUUUUGGUGAGAGUUUUCAUGGUAAUUAUGCAGGGAAUUUUUGUACCCCUUUUGAGAGAACUCUAUGGGAGUUAAUGCUUGAUUUUCAGUGUUUGGGUUUCUACGUGGUUUACUCAUUUCAUGAAAAGCCGAAGCUUCAUUUGCCUGUGGUUUUUAUCCUCUUCGGAGGAGUUUUUUACUUAAAAUUUAUGUGUUUAAUCUUUUUCACUUUUUAUGUUCAUUGCUUAUACAGGUUGAUCCCUAAUAAAUUGGUAUCGAAACAAAGCUAUGUUUCUACAAUUGACCCAUUCAGAGAUGGCAACAAUGAAUUUCGAUAUUGAAAAGUUCAAUGGAAUCGCUGAUUUUAGAUUGUAGCAGAUUUGGAUAAAACAGAGUGUUUAAAGCAAGGUCGGUCGAAAAGGGUGACAUUCAAGUGAAGGAAGUUGAUUUACUCAAUGUUUUCUCUCUUAUUGUGAAGUAGAUGUCAGUUUAUGUAUCACUGACCCUUAUUGCAUUAUACAGCCUUCAUUUGAAGAUUAUGAGUUUUUUGGUUUCCAAGUUCGAGAACGAUUUGGGCUUGGUUGACAUUCUGCAAAGAUUGAGUUUGGCCCUUGACAGGGCCUGAAUAAUAAGGUGUGGUAAAUACGAGUCAAUGUGAAGAUUUGUAAGGUGUGCCUCGCAUUUAUUGGAUAGCUUGCAGGCACUUAUCAAAGUCAACAAACGGCGUUACAAGGAGAUGCUUCCUAACGUUAUGAUGACAGACAACAUCGUAAUGACGCAAAUGAGAACUUUGCGACGUUUAUAAACACUGAGUUUCUUCUCCUAUUUAAACUCUGCUAUCUUUUUCGAGUCAAACUCUGAAUACUCUAGGGCUAUUUUAGUAUGAUUAGAACUCUAAGCUUAACCUAUUUAAAAGGGUCAUUGUAUCCCUAUUUUGUAAGGUAAUUAAGGAUGCAGUACUAUAUGGCUUUUCUUUUUGCCCUACAUUCUAGUUCUUCCUUCAAACCUAAAUGUUUUCUUCUUCUUCUUCGUUAAGGUAGAGCUAAGAUUUCAUUUAAUCAAUGGAUGAUUCGACCUUCUGAUAAGUCUUAUAGUUCUAUAUGUUACGAAUGUUACAGAAUAAGGAUGUAAGAACAGUAGGAUGUGAGUGAAAGGCAUUGUUUGGGGUCGCAUGUAGUUGACACAUUAGUAAACUAUUUGUAAAUAAAGAUUCUAAUAUAAAUUCCAUGAUUUUUAAAGUAAUUGUUGCUAUUGGAUCGGGACGAACAAUCGAAAUAGAAGUUUUAGACUGAGGUAAAGGUGAGUCUCUAGGCUCGUCACCUACACGUUAUAUUACAAUGAUUCUUUACAUGAUUGACGUCUAUAUAGAUAAGAAUACCUUCUUUAAGUUGCAGUAUGCAUGUAUUUUGUGUAUUUUCUGUGAAACACUUGUAUGUAUGUACUGAAGUGUAUAGUGCAUGAAUAUGACAAUAUGUGGUAAGCAUGCAUGAGAAAUUAUGCGUUAAAAAAUAUGAUUAUGUUAAGAAUAUGAGCAAAAUUUGUGUAAACGUGUUCAUUAUGUUAUUUGAGUGAUGCAUGACCAAGUAUGGUUGGUAAUAAUGGGCUUUGGUGGAGUGUCAGAAAAGUAUGUGAUAGGAUAAUAAACCUCACAGUGGUGCUUUGAUAAUGUCUGCCAGGACAUUAAACAUAAAGGUCAGUAUAGAGAAAUGUAGUCUAUCGGGGCCGUAAACACAAGGCCCGUUAGGACAGUAAAAAUGAUAAAAUUUCAGUAUAGCAGAUAUGUGAAAAGACUAUGGCCAUGACACAUUUUGGGAAUGACAGAUAAGCCACAUUUGUCUACUAAGGUUUCUGCGUAUCUCGGGGGUGAUGAUGGGCAAACUUCAGGUGAUGUUAAGUUUAGGAAAAUCUAUAUCGUCAAACACAAAAGUUUAUGUGGUGCUUUGGUGGCAAACGAAACCAAACAUUUGUGGCGAAUUAUCUGAAAAGCCUUUUUGGUGAGUUAUCUGUAAAGCCUUUAUAGUGAAUUAUCUGAAAAGCCUUUGUGGUGAGUUAUCUAAAAAGCCUUUGUGGCGAAUUAUCUAAAAAGUCUUUGUGGUGUAUUGUAUGGAAAGCCUGUAUAACGGAUUUUGUAACACCUAAGUGGCGAGUGGUUAGACCACCUUUGCAGUGAAAUCUGGGUAUACAUUUGAAUAAUUUUCUGAAUAAAUUCUCAGUAGUGUAUCUAAUCGAGGAAUCUCCUUUAGUAAUCCACCAGGACAGAGAAUUUGGUGUAUCCGGAGGUACAGUGGGGUAAAAGUUCGCUGAACCUGGACAUUUUCAUGUUAUGUAUCAAAGUUAUUUGAAAUUCUAUGGGAUGAUCUAAAAUAAUACAUUCAUCCGAGUAAGUACAUUUGUUUGGAUUAAUUUGAAGAUUUGCUGUGAACAGCGUUUUUACAGUUGCCAAAGUUAAUAGGAGAUUCAGUUAAGAGUAGCAUCCAUAUAAAUAUCAUUAUGAGGAGUGUAUAUCCAACAACUAUCUUCAAAAAGAUUGUGUAAUAGGAUUCGAACUAUGGUGUGAAGUCUGUGAUCCGCCAGUCAAUUAAAUUGUCUAUAAAGUGUUCAAGUGUAGAGAUUGGCGUAUAGUUAUCUGCCAACCAGAAAUCAGAAAAGUUUUGGCCAAGGUUUGAAAGAAAGUCCAAUAUCUUAAAGUCGAUGAUUUCUUCAGUGGUGUUAAAAGGUAAAAUUGGUUGAGACUCAUUAAGUUCCAUUAAACUUAUGAGUGUUUAUUUGUAAUGCAGGUUUUUGAGUUGAACCAGUUUACCAGAAGGGACCAACUCAAGAAUGUGCCAAGGUGGUUAAUCAUAGUGCGAUAUUAUGCAUACAAAAGGAUACUUUUGGGAAUAUGUUUUCAAAUGGCGAAUUGUAACACCCCAGACCCGGCCUAAACGUUAUGGCUGAAUCUGGUGAUGUCACAGGAAAAAGCUUUUGAAAACUAAGUCAUUAGAUAAACCAUUUCUCUUUCUAAACAAUUUUUGUUAUCUUAUAUUAUCAAGUUAUUUGGUUCUAAAACAUUUUCCAUUUAUUUACAAGUCUUUGUAAUUUGCGGAAGUUUUUAAAACGGUUUACAUAUUGGUGAGUGUUUUGAAAGAAAACAUUUGUAACUUUUGAAAACCUAUGUUUUCCUACCACUAGUGAUUACGAAUCAUAAGCAACAAUAAAUAAAUCCAAAAUUAAGGUAAAAAUCCAUAAAGGUCUUAUUACAAUAAAAACACCCCAAAUAAUAAUACUUAAAACCAUAAUCAAAUACAAAAAUUUAUGCGGUUGUGCGGCCACCUCUGAGUCCCUCGCUGUACCGGUCCACCUAUGACUGAGGAUUACCUGCACAGUAAAACAUAAGGGGUGAGUUUACUAAAACUCAGUGCGUAAUCCCCAUGUAGUUAUACAGUCGAAAUGAAACAGUAACAGACUGAGCCUAAGCCCUUCAUAGUAACAACAUCGUUUUGGGCCUUAGCCCAUCACAUCUCAGUAAUUAGUUGGGCUACAGCCCAUCACAAAAUCAGUAUGCAGUAGCAGUAAUACGGUUUACAAUAUGCAAGUCCUACCCAACCAUUCGCUAUACACCAUCUCCUGUCCAACCUUGCAUUCUUGUGGGGAAUAAAUCGCCCACCGAUCCUUACACUUACAAAUUAGCAUCGGUUGCGGCACUAAAUAGUAUUUGCAGCAGAAUUUCCAGUAUAUUAGGCUUAGAGCCAUCAGUGAUUUGUAGCAAAGUUGCCAGUACAGUACACUUCCUCCAAUCAUAUUAUCCCAACCCCAUGUAGUGCAUCAUACAAUCAUGACAUGACAUGCCAUCUCAUGAAAACAUGCAUAUAAUCAGAACAAUAUAAAUAUUAUGCUUAGUAUACAGUCAUACAUAUUCUAAUAGCACACAGUCAGUUAAGGAUCUAGGUAAAGCUCACCAACCCCAUAGUAGGUCCACAGUGAACUCAGGCGACUCAUGCAACCUUAGUAGCCAAAUAGUGAAAAUGGGCUCAUAAACCCAUGUAACUAUCCCAUAUAGGCCCACACGCUCGUAUGACCUACAAAGCCUAAAAUGUCCUUAGCCAUGUAGAUCACACGGCCUGGCCUAAUAAUCUCACACGCCCGUGUGGUUCAUCCGUGUGAGGCCCAGACGCCGAAUUUGGCCUGGCCCAUGAAUCGUACAUGACCAGCCUCGUCGAUCAUACGCCUAUUUCGUCACACAACCUACCACACGGGCAGUCGCACGCCCGUGUGGCAUUGACGAUUCCCACCUUUUCAAUUUACAGGGUUGUGUUUACACAUCUGUCAUGAAUUCGAUGUCGAAAACUCCCUAAGCCCGAAUAUUUAUCAAGGGUCAUUCAAAACUGAUUAGUACCUAUUAAAGGUCAUUCAAAACCAAUUAGUAGUUUAAUUCACAGGUCUUAACAAUCGUUAAUAGUAUUAGCUUGACCUACCUCCAAGAAGACCCUUCGUUAAUGCCAUUAAACCAAGAACCACGAUUACCUAAGAACUUUCCUUUAGCCAAAAUAACUCCACUUAGUCAGUUAAAGCUGUGUUAAAUCAAAAUGUACAACCAAACCCGAACACUAAAUUCAUAACACAUUACCUUUGAUCAAGUAAAGAGGGAAGUUCCGUCCACCCUAACACUAGUUAAAGAUCUUCCACCCUUCGAAUAGUCCCUAAGCACGAACCAAAAAUAGGUAAGCAUUUUCUCACUGAAAUAUCACACUUACCAACAACGCGAGAAAAGAACCAAUUAAGAACUACAAGACUUAACAACAAGAAGAGAAUGCUCACUAGAAAGUAAUACCGUCGGCUCCAAGAGGAAGAAAAGAAUCAAUGACAAAGAAUAUGAAAGAAAGGAUAAAUUCGGCCAAGGGAAAACAAAGUGGAGAACAUUUUCUCACUACACAGUAAGAGUAGAAGAACCAAACAAAUAAUCGGUAACGAAGGAGAAAGGAACACUAGUUGUAGGCACAGCAAAACCGAAAAGAACAACUACCCUAGCUGAAACAAACACUUCAAGGAAAUUUGACCAAAAAGAAAAAGCAAAAAGAAGAGACAGACAGCAACUAGAGAGGUAGAGAAAACAAUCGUCAAAAAGAAAAACCAACAUUAGGGAAAUGAGAGGAACCGAAUUUUGAAAAAAAGAUCCCAAUAAUCAGAUAAUUCCCCCUUAUUUUCUUCUAAAAUUUGGCCACUAAAUCCCCACACUUCAAACACUCCAACCGCCUACCAGCAUUAGAAUUUCACUAACACACAAUCACUUAUACGGCAACAGUAAAAAUAAAAAAUAAAAACCUUCGUUCGCACAAAGACUUGAACUCUUGACCCUCAGCUCAUAAGCACUCCCCUUAAGCACCAAACUAGCAAGCCUAUUCUGCCAAAUUCUAUCAACAUUUAUUUAUAAGUCUACUGACUAAAAGAUGGGACUUUAUUCACUUAAAACAAAAAUUUUGCACAAUCCAAAGCUUGAACCCAAGACUUCUCAGACACUUUCAGAACACAUAACCACUGAAGCAGAUACACGUUUAUGUCAUAAACAUAACUAAAUAAAUAUUAACAAUACGUUUGGUUGGAUGAAAUUGCUUUUCCAUUUUGCCCUAAUUCCACGCGCUACAGUAUAGUACUGUUUAGGUGAUUCCACGGAAUUGCUAUUACAUGCUCAUUCCCUCAUCUCACCGUUUAGGUAUUCAAGGGUUAGGGGUCUGAAUACCUAUUCAACACCACACAAUUUAGGUUUUUAGACCAAAAUAGCCUUCCUCCCUUCUUCCUAAAUUCUCUCUAGAUUUCUUCCUUCCUAAAUCAAGCAUCCAUUCGUUUUUUUUCUAUUAUGUGUUUCUCAGGCUGCUUGCAAGUCGGCACUAAAAAUGGAAUCAGUGUUUUCCCUUGAUGUUAUUUGUUGUAGUCUUGAUGAAUCAAUGAGUCUAAAGAAUUUCGGGCUCUCUGAUGCUUGUCUGGCCACUUUAGCAUCUCAAGGUUUGCAAAAUUUACUUACUUUUCUCUUUCCUAGUUUUCCCUUUUCAUUGCAGUGUUUGAACCAUUACUUUUUAUUAUGUCUAUGGAAGAUGAACUGAUUUUUUCACACUUCUUUGAGGGGUUCAGAAUUAAAAACCCAGUUUUAAUCUAUAGAAGAUAGAUUGGAUUUUUACCCUUUCGAAAGGGGUUUAAAGUUAAUUACCAUUUUAGAUGAUGAAUGAGCUUCUAUAUUUCCAUCUUUGUCUUCACAGCUAAUCAAAAGGUUGAUCACUCUGAUUUAUCAUUUGGAGAAAAUAUGUAAUUUUUUGGAGUCCUGAAAGUUCUUUAUAUCGUAUAAAAGCCACACUCUUUUUUGCUGGUCUUUUUUUUUUAUUUCCUUUAGAACUAACUCUGAACCUAAAAUUGCAGGUAUAAUGGAGAUAAAGCAAACAACAUCAAGGUUACAAAUAAGCCUGCUACAGAUUCCAUAGAAGUAACUAAAGGUAGAGAUUACUGACUUUUUGUACACUUUUAAGUUACCCUUGACAAUCCAUUAUUGGGUUUUUGACUAGCAAUAGAAGUCUCUAAUUAGUGUUAUGUUAUUUAUUUUACACCAUGAUACAUAGCAGAAGGCGAAAAGGACCCAAAUCAAGUUGAAGUUAAGAGGCCAAUUUUACAAAUAUCCAAGGAUGGUUAUGAAAGUCUUCCUUCGUAUAUGACUAGUUUAGCAUCGUGGGAGGUAUGCAACUCAUGCUUUUGGUUUUUGAGGAUUCUAUUCUAACUAAUGUUUUAAACAUAAAAUGCUAUGCUAGAGUUGUGCUCUUAUGGUUGAGCCACACUGGCGAGAAGGUUUUCAAAGAACUCUUUGCACAUUAAAUAGGACAUGAUAAAAAUUUUGAAAAUAGUAAAAGCAAAAUUAAGAUGGUAAAAAUACCAAAUUACAACCUGUUGUUGAAUUGAAACAAUUACUUCUUGACAUUGUGCUAUUCAAAUGUAUUAUGGGGUGAGGGACAGGGCUGAGAAUAAAAACCAAUUUGCAUAGUAAUGUACAAUUCUAUUUCUUUUGGGUUAUAACUGAAUGUAUGGAGCCAUGUCCCUAGUAUAAUGCUUAGAUUGUUUCCUUCUUGUAUGUGAACAGUGAACCUGAUCUGGUUUAGCUAAGGCAUUAGAAUGGUGGUAUUAACUGAUUUAAAGCUUUCUCUUUAUAGGUGCUAAUAACAUAAAAUAUCUUGAAUGCAAAAUUCUUGGUUUUUUUUUCUUUUAAUUGCGAAUUCUAUUUAAAGAAAGCAUAACCACUGCCUUCUUGGAUGAUAAUCAUCUAAUACAAAAUGCUUUCUUCAUUUUUAUUUUUACUUUUCUUUUUUUGUUGAGGGGGCUUUCAGGAUGUGCUUGCAAUUGUGGAGAAGAUCAACUCAAGUUUGAACAAGAAAAAAAAACAAAGGGUUAUAAUUACUUCUACCAAGAUGAAAUUGAAGCCCUGGGCUUAGGUAAUGCACCGCAUCCUACUAUUUGUCUGUAGUUGGAUUAUAUUUUAUUAUAUUCCUACGACUUUAGGUGUAACAUUGAACAUGGAUUUCUGUUUGGCAUGAUAUAUUCAGUUUCUUUUUCAAUAUUUUCAUAUACUUAGAUGGGUCUUAAGAGGAUCAUGUCCAGAUACAUGUCUUGGGAGGAUUAUAUACUUAUACCCAUAUUUGAAUAUGCAUGGGAUGCAUGUGCCAGAUACAGAUAUUUCAAGAAAAAUGUAAAGUUAGAAGCCAUAUAAUCAGUAUAUUCCAUUGGUUUAAUCGGGGAACACUUAUCGCACUGGCAAGUUGUGCUGUUAGAAGUUAGAACAAAGCAUGUCCUAGAUUAAUUAUUUGCAAUCUGGAUAUAUCCUCAACCAGAGAUGGCCAAUUCAUUUUGUCUAAACCUUAAACAUAGCAUGUAAAUGGUUAACAUCUAAAACCCGAGUUGACAAGUUCUGAUUGGUGCAUACAGGGCCUAAAGGACGAGCUUACUUGCUGCUAUUGGUACGCAUGAAUCAUCUUAUUGUGGAGAUCACUAAUGGGUGGAUUUCUUAAUGAGUGUUGUGAAUUAGAACCAACCUGUUGUGAAUUAGUUCUUUUGUUAAUAAAAUUCACUGUUAAACAAUGAUGGGAGGUAAUAUUCAAGGUUGAAUUAAUUUUUAUUUGAAAAAAAAUUAAAUCUAAUUUUUCAUUUUAUGGAAAAAAAUCUUUUUAAAAACAAUAGAUGGGUAAUUGAAAAUAUAAAUUUUCAAUCUUAAUCAUCAAUUAAUUCCACAUUAUUAAAAAAAGCACAAAUUGAUGGAAUAUUUAAUAAAAAUAUUAAUUUUAACUUUUAUUUAUCUUAUAAAGGUUAAUUUGUACAAUUUUUUAAUAUUAAAUGAAAAAUGCAAUAUAGAUUGUAAUUAUUAAAUUGUUGGUAGUAAUUUUGCACUUGAAGGAGUGACGCGACAGUGAGCACUUUUCUGACUCCAAAUCUGGAAAUUGAAAACACAAAAAACAUAAGAAUUGUUUACACAAUUCAUUUCUCUAUGUUUGCUGUAAGGCCCAAAUUUUGCCCGGGGCCCAAUAAAACCAAACCCAAAUUAAACCUAGCCCAUUACCCAGUUACAAGCCCAAACCCAAGUUUGGCCCAACCUAAUCCCAUUACACUAGCCCAACCCAAACACAAAAAAAAACUAAAAAAAAAACUAGCCACCAAAGUCCGUCACCACCCACACCUCCACUUGCUCCACUUGCUCCACUUGCACCUGCAAAAUAGAAAAAAGAGAAAAGACAGCAACAAAUAAUAAUAAAAUUUGUAAAAAAGGGAUGGCUAUAAGAAAGCCAUCCGAAAAUCAGGAAGAAAAGGGGGGGAUUUUGGAUUCUAUCUCAUUUUUUUCAGCUAAAAAUAGAAGUCGAAAAGAAAUCGUAAAAGGGGGGAUCCCCAUUCUUGUACGCAGGAUUUGAGAAAUAAAAGAAAAAAAAUACAAAGAAAAGGUGGAUUUCCGAUCGUAUUCUCUUGGUUUUCAUUUUGUUCUUUAGUUUCUUUUUUAUUUUUGUUUACAAAUCUAUUAAACGAAAGUGGGCAUAAAAAAUAAAAAAAAAAGAAAGGAGAAGAGAGUCUUACCGGAUCCACCCCGAGGUUGUGUCGCCGGAGUUUUCUUUUCCGUCGUCAGAAUCGACGCAAGGAGAAGGUGAGGGGUUCUUUCUCCUUUGUUUUCUUCGAUAUAGAGAGGCCUCACCAUUGAAUCUUCCUUUAAAAGUGCCAAAAACCCAGUUCCAUGAGGCUUUAAACCACCGUUUACGAUGGAAGCCACGGCGGGUUCACGAUGGUUUGGUGACAGUUCAAAAGGGGGAAGGUAGAAAACCUAGCAGAGCAAAGAAGUUGAGGAGAAGGGGCUGCUCUCUUUAUUUAUUUCUACUGAAUGAAUAAAAUGGAGGGUGAAUGUUUUAAGAAAAAAAAAUGUUUUUUUUUAAAAAGGGAUUUGGGUGUUCUAAAAGUUUUUUUUUAAAAAAAAGGGGCCACUGUUCUUUAAUUUUAAUUGUUUUUGGGGAAAGGGAAAAGGUGGCCUGCGCAUGGACAGUUGGUUCUGCGCAUGUUCCCCUUAAAUGGGUAAUUUGCGCGGCCAGUCCUUCCUAUUUUGCGUUACCUUUAAUUUGUCCCUAUUAUGUUUCUUUCAUUUUUCUCCAAAAGUUUGCAUGAUGUUUCAGUUUGGUCUGCGCCUAAGUAGUGUUUUUGGUGAUUUGGGUCAUUUUCAAUUUUGAUCCCCGAGCAUUUGUGCGCGUUUUAUUUCGGCCCACAAUUUUGUUUAUAAAUUAUCCCUUUGGUUUUGUUGUGCUUACAAUGAAGUUUUUUUCCUUAAGAAAUAAGAGCAUAUUAUUUUAGCAUAUAAUCUUGUAUUGUUUUGAUGAUUUCGUUGUUUUUUUUUAUGUGCAUAUUUUUUUUUCUUUUCUUUUUUCAAAUACUUUCGUAUAUUAUCAUUAUCUCUUUUAUAUAUAUAUAUAUAUUAUAUUAGGUUUAUUAAUUUCAUAUAUUAUUUACUUAAAUGUUGUACAUAUAUCACUUUGCAUAUUGCUAAAUCUUUUUGAAACUUCAUUUAUGUAUUAUAUAUAUAUUUGAUGCAUCUCAAAUUUCCAUGUAAAUUAUUUUAUGGCAUUUAUUUUAAAAUUCAUUCGUAUGAUAUUAUUUAAUUUAUUACUUAUUUAUAUUUUUCUAUUUAUUUUAAAAGUUUUAUAUUCAUUAUUUGUUUUAAAGUCUUUGUAUUACUUUUAUACUAGUGUUCUUUUAAAAUUUCCUUUCUUCCCUAUUGUUCAUUUUAUUUUAAAAAUUGAUAUUUUAUUUGAGUAAUUUGCUUAGAACUUCUUUUAAGUUGGCUUUUAAUUCAUUAGCUUAUAAUUAUUAACAUUUGUAUUUAUAUAUUUGUUCCUUCAUGUUUUUGUAUCAUUCUUGAUUAUUCAUGUAAUGUUAUUGUCCCAAAUUUUUAUUUCUGGCUCAAUACUAAGCUUGCAUGCUCUUUAUUGCAUCAUGUUUUUUUAAUUCCAACUUCUUUCUCAACGUCAAUUGUUUUUAUCUCUAAAUAAUCAAACAAGUAUAUUGACUCAUAUUUUUGCAAUUGUAUUUGAAACUUCACAAAUCAAGGCAAUGUUUCGUGUUUGGAAAUUCGGGAAAUAGUUGUGUCCUAACUCACUAGAUAUGACAUUUUGUUACCUCGAAAUAAGAUUUUUCGUAAGUAAAGGCAAUAUUAGAUGUUUGGCAAUUCGGGAAAUCGUACCCUAUCUUGCUGGGUUGCAAUUUCCUAUUUGUUCGAAACAAUCGAAUAUUCCUUCGGUGUUCCACUCGUGUCUUUUAAAAAUUUUUAUUAAAACGAAAGAAAUGUUCGAUAUUUAGCAAUUCAUGGAAUCGUGCCCUAACGUGUUGGGUUGCAAUUUCUCGUUUGCUCAAAAUAAUCAAAUGUCUCUUUAGAAUUUCAUUCAUGUUUUCUAAAAAAAAAACUUAUAAAGGAAAUGUUCGGUAUUUAGCAGUUCGGGGAAUAGUACCCUAUCGUGCUAGGUUGCAAUUUCCUAUUUGCUCAAAAUAAUUGAAUAUCUCUCCGGAAUUUCACUCGUAUCUUCCAAGGUGAGGCAAUGGUCAAUGUUUGGAAAUUCGAGGAAUCGUGCCCUACUGUGCUGGGUAUCGAUUUUUCGUUAGACCAAAUAGUUGGGCAUCCUUUUGUUAUUUUCGAAUUACAAAUUUUCGAACGUCGAAACAAGAAGAUUUUUGGCAAUGGACUCGGGUUAUUCAAAUGUUAUUAACAAGAACCACAUUUCAAAAACAUUUUUAAUUUUAGACAAAAGGACAGUAUUUAAUCAAUUUGGUACCAAUUUUGGGUGUAAUGAGGGUGUUAAUCCUUCCUCAUACGUAACCGACUCCCGAGCCUAUUUUCUCAUAUUUUCGUAGACCAAAAUCAUUGUUUUAAUAAACCAAAAUGUUUUAUUAAAACAACCCAAAUUUCUAGGUGAUUCGAUCACACCUAAACAAAAAAUGAUUGGUGGCGACUCCAUUUUCGCUUUCCAAAAAGUCGACCCAUCAUUUUUAAAACGAAAUAAAAAAUGGUUUCGACAGCUUGGCGACUCCACUGGGGACGUAAAUAAGAGAGUCAAGCCACAAGUUGAUUAACUUUUGUCUUUUCAUCGAAAAUUGAAAAUUUGGUUUUGAAAUACGAUUCUUUCAUUGGAUUUCAUCAGCUAUUUUUGUGGUUUAUGAUAUAAUACCUGCUGUAUUAGUUUGAGUCUUUAAAUAGCUUUGCAUAUUGCAUUGCAUGACCGUUGUGGUUUCACAUUUUAAGUGGGAGUGAGAAACUAUGCUUUCGUGAGGUUUUCACGUCCGCAUGGGCUAGGGGAUCGCUUCCAGAAUGCAUCCGUACUUAUGUCUUCGUGAGGUUUUCACCUCCGCAUGGGCAUAAGGAAAUGUAUUCCCCUGAACUGAACUUGGUCCAUAUGAGCCUAUAAUGGGUGAGGACCGAGGAAUCUACUGGUUCGGGUACCCUUACUCUAGAAUCGAGCCACAUAUAGAGACACCUAGGAGCUUACCCUAGGCAGAGCCACUCCGGACCCCUAGUGAUCACCCGAUUAGGUAAUUUAUUGGUUGUUUAUUUCGAUACUAACAUGUUUUGUUUUUUGUUCAUUCAUAACUGCAUUGCAUUACAUCAUCAUAGAAAGGAGGUGUUGAUAUUCAAUUGCUAAAUAGAACAAUUUGUCAUAAGAAAACAAAUUUCUUAAUAACGCGAAUUAUAAUACGGUUGUCUGAAUUCGAUCCAAGUGAACACAACAGAAAAAGGCUAACAGUUCGUGGAAGAAAACAAAACUUUACCUAAGGAUUCAAGCUGAUAAAGAUUAUCCAAAAAUCGUCGCGUCCCGACUUUCUUAAAGGAGCUAAUCAACGUUGCAAGGAUAGUAAUUCGUGGCCUGGAUCAAGCAAAAAGGAGCUAGUAGAGGCAUGCAUUGGAAGCUUGCAAGAUUUGACUUUCACGAAGAAAGGGGAUCAGUGCCUUCGCCUCGAAUAUGAAAGCAAGGUCGUAUACAUAAUCCGUUUUAUGGAAAAGAUUUUGUUUUAUAGAAAAGUUGUUCUAGGGGAAUUGAAUUCAAAAUCAACAUCUUUCUUUCCUUUGCAUUCAUCCCAUGCAUUUGCAUUGCAUUGCAUCAUGUGCAUUGCAUUGCAUCAUUUGCAUUAGAUUUUCCCAAAACGACCCUAAUUAGGUAAAAUUAUUUUAGAACCGACAAAAGAUAUGGACCAAAGGUUGGAAAGAAUGGAGCAAAGGCAAAUGCAGAUGCAAGAGUAGUUGAUCGAAAUUCAACAGGAUAUGCGAGAAAUGCUAGAACUCCAAAGAAAUAUGAUGGGCAAGUUAACCCAUUUACUGGCCGGAGAAUUUGAAAAAAUGAGUGGCCCAGUGGUCAAUAGUGAGGAUGAUGUUGAAGAGAUUAUCUAUUCCCCAGGCUUUGCCCCAAUAAGCGUCCCGACCCAACCAGACAUGCAAGGGGUACCUGUUGUUAUAGGACACCAACACCAGACGGAUACAUCAACACUGUUGAGCUUCUCGAUGGGUUCAGGUUUUAACCCGAAAGAUGAUCAAGCCGAGCCAGUUAUUCUGGAAGAAAAGAAGGCAAGGGGAGAGUGGACUUUAAAAGCCCCGAAGAAGAAGGAAACGAAGGAAAAUAGUACGAGUAGGUAUAACAAGGGUCAUUCGGAGCCGGUUAUAGCAGGCCAGCCAAGGUCAGUAACUAUCAGCAAUCAGACCUCCUCAAGGCAAGAACCCAAUCGAAGACCGAGCUCAGAAAAACCCCAAUACGUGCCCAUUCCAAUCAUGUAUGGAGAGUUGUACCGCAUCUUGUUCGACGCACAUGUCGUAUCCCUUUUUUACCUGAAACCUAUACUACCCCCAUAUCCUAAAUGGUAUGAUGCAAGCAGUCAAUGUGAAUACCACGCGGGAAUUAUGGGGCAUUCCAUCGAGAACUCUACCGCUUUUAAAAAGAUUGUCGAAAGACUCACCAAUUUGGGUAUCGUAAAAUUAGAUGAUCCCUUUGGAGUGGGAAAUCGGUUAUCCAACAUUUCUGUUAAAGAGGCGAACGUUAUGAGUUCCAUGCUGGAUUGGGGCAUGAUAUUUAAGGGUGUAUUGAGCUCGGAACUCUAAUGCAAGGCCUGGUAUUGGGAAACCCGAACAUCAACGACGUAUUAGAAGAGGGAACCCGGGAGUAGACUUUUUCAAGCUUCUGCCCUUACGUACUUAGGGUGUUUUAAACAAUGGGACUGUGAAAAGGAUCCUUUAUUUUUAGAGCUAAUCUGGAGUAAUAUUCAAAACAAGCUUGUUGUUUUAAGCCUAGAAGCAACAAGAAUCCUUUUGUGAAAUAGGCUUAUAUCCAAAAUCUUUAUUUCAAUGAAAUACAUGUUUGAGUAAAUAUUCUUUUAUUCUUUCCAUUUUAUACUGUACAAACGACUAUUCUUAGAUUCUUUCAUUCAUGAUCAUAUCAUACAAAUAAUCAUUAUUAGAAUCAUUUAUUCUUUGGAAAACGCCUUCGUACCUAUAACAGGUCCCCAGAUAUCAAUAAUGUGAGCGACACUGUCACCGACUCCGAGUCUCUUUUUGAGCGAAAUAUUGACCCAAAGGGAUCUCAGCACUUUGAAGAUGACAGAGAUGGUGCCCUAUCUCCAAAUUUGUUAAGAAUGGUAGAACAAGAUAUCCUACCUUACAAAGAGUCAGUGGACAGUAAGAUUAGGACAAGAGAAAGAGGCAAAUAUCAGAGUCUGCAUCACCACAAAGACAAAGCUAGAUGUCAUUGAGUUAUUUCCAAGAAUUUGAAUAUUCUUGCGCGACUGUAUCAAGAUACGCCUGGCCACUAAGAAGUGAGGAUAUUGCAGAGUUUUUGAACGACGUAUACUAAUGACAUAUACGAUGGCGAAGCUAAUCAUGAGAUUUGGUUUCUCCUGGUCCACCGUAGAAAUGGAUUACAUCAAUAUGCUAUAAAUGCCAAAUUUAUGGAAACAAGAUUCACGUGCCCCUUCAUUUCUCCAUAGACUUUUUCUAUGUGGGGGCAUGAAGGUUAUGAGCUGAUCUAUUUGAAAGCUUCUAACCAAUACCGAUUCACCUUUGGGGUCAUCGAUUACUCCGCAGAAAGGGUAAAAGUUGUUUCAUAUGCUAAUGUCACUAGGUCGACAGUCACCAAAUUCUAAAAAAAAAGGUGCCAAAAAAGAGUGUCAGAAAAUCAUGUCUAACACAACUGUACAAUGUCAAAAGGUUACAGUCUGUUCAAAGAUUAGGCGCUAUAUGGCAAAAGAAAAAAAAAGACCCGAUGACAAAUUAAAUAUCAUGGGGAAGAUGACCGAGACUUGUAAAGAUUGGUAUAAGAAGUCACCAUUUACCCUUUAUGCUCAUCGAACGUUGGCCAAGACCUUUACCGGGGCAGUGUAUUUCAUCAGUCUAUGGGAUAAAAAAUGAUUUUAAAGAAGAGAUUUCUUGUUUCUGAGUCUUGUCAGACCUGAAGGUGGAUAAGGCAAUCCCGAUACGAUCAGUUGAAUUUGAAGAAAGGAGGUUGAAAGCCAUCCGUCAUGGUCCAAUGAACGAUGUGAGUUUACAAUGAAGAGGUUCAUCCUAGAGAGUUCUACGAGGGGAACUUGAUAAUAAAAAUAUCCCUCCUAUAUAAAAGACUUCAGAGAAAAAUGGAUGUCGAACUAAGAAGGACCUUAUGUAGUAAAAAAGACCUGUUUUGGAGGGGAAUCAAUGUUGACCGAGAGGGAUGGCAAAGAUUUGCCCAAGUCGGUGAAUUCGGAUUUCGUCAAGAAGUAUUUCACCUAGAAAAUGAGAGGCCAAGGCGAAAACCCGCGAAGGGCGCUUUGAGACUUUCAAAAAAAAAAGAAAGAAAAAAAGAGAAGAAAAAAGGAGAGGCCAAAGUGAAAACCAACAAAGGGCGCUUUGAGACCAAAGGGGAUUUGAGUUGAAAACCCGGAAAGGGCGGCUCAAAUUUGGAUCGAAGUGGGGCAUAUAAUAGUCUUGCUAUACCUGAAUUAACAAUAAAGAAGUAUGCUACGUCUUGGGGCAUCAACAAAGUGCUUCGAAUCCCCUAAACACGUAUUGAGCUCAGAAAAGUCCUUAAGAAGUUGGUACAGAGAAGCUCAAGCUGCGAUAUCUGGGACACCUAGUUUUCUAUUUUACCCAUUUUGAAUUUGCUAUAUUUGAUUAACUUAUUCGUUUUGAGUUAAUUUCCUCCUUAUUGCAUUUGCAAACUUUGAUUAAUUUAUUCCUUUCGAGCUAUGCUCCCAAUCAAUUUCCUUCUUGUCCAUUAUUUUGAUCUUUUUCGAGCAUUUUGCAUUGAAAUAACGAUUAAUGGACCAAUAAUACUUUCACAAAAGAAGUUCUGCAUAUUACUCUGGAAGUUUCUAAAUAAUACAAGAACCUGAAACAGGACUAUUGUUUAGAACUCACCAAGCCUAAGGGUUGGAAAUAUUAUCUCUUUGGACUCUUUAUUGGUUGAACCAAAAGAUAAGACAAGACGAGCUAUGUCAACCUAAGUGUAAAAGAGGGUCAUUCUCGAGAAAAGAAGAUGAUACUCUGCAUUCAUAUACAUCUGGUCAUUACACCCAGGGAAUAGUGUAACAGAUCAAACUGAUUCAAGAUGAUACAAAUCCUAUGCCUUUGAGUUGCAGCAGAAUGGAUGGAAGAAACCAAAUGUUAUUCCUCUGAAAUUGCAGUAAGAGGCACAAACUUUAUGUCCCAAAAGGUAUAGUGGAAGGGACUCUGAAAUUACAGUGGGGCAAGCUUGCUGAGCAAAAUGUGAUUAUUUCUUUGACUUUUCUGUCAAGAAUACCAGCAGAAUAAGAUGCCAGCAUAAUACGUCAGUGAUAAUAUCCUAAUGAACAACGAACGAUGAUACCUUAAGCCUUUUAAAAAAAAACUCAUGACAUUUCUACAUUUAUAUAAUAACACAUCUAGUUAGGAGCAUUUGAUUCAUUUCAUAACAUCCUAAUUAUUUGACAUAAAGCAUCACAUUUAGUUAGGAGCAUUUGAUUCAUAGCAUCCUAAUUAUUUGGCAUAAGCAUGGAUACAUGAAACUGAUUUUACAGAUCAUGUUCCUUAGAGAACAGUGCAGUAAAAUCGGUGAAUUCACAAGUCUUAUCUCCCUGAAGUUACAGUGGAGUAGACUGAAGAUAGCAAAUCAUAUUUCCCUAAAGUUGCAGUGGAACAGAUUGAAGCUAAAUUACAGAUCUUAUCUCUCUGAAGUUGCAGUAGAACAGGUCGAAGUUACAAGUCUUAUCUCCCUGAAGUUGCAGUGGAGCAUAUUGAAGAUAGCAAAUCUUAUUUCCCUGAAGUUGCAGUGGAACAGAUUGAAGCUAAAUUAUAGAUCUUAUCUCUCUGAAGUUACAGUAGAACAGGUCAAAGUUACAAGUCUUAUCUCCUUAAAGUUACAGUGGAGCAGACUGAAGAUAGCAAAUCUUAUUUCCCUGAAGUUGCAGUGGAACAGAUUGAAGCUAAAUUACAGAUCUUAUCUCUCUGAAGUUGCAGUAGAGCAAGUCGAAGUUACAAGUCUUAUCUCCCUGAAGUUGCAGUGGAACAGAUUGAAGCUAAAUUACAGAUCUUAUCUCUCUAAAGUUGCAAUAGAGUAGGUCGAAGUUACAAGUCUUAUCUCCCUAAAGUUGCAGUGGAGCAGACUGAAGAUAGCAAAUCAUAUUUUCCUGAAGUUGCAGUGGAACAGAUUGAAGCUAAAUUACAGAUCUUAUCUCUCUGAAGUUGCAGUAGAGUAGGUCGAAGUUACAAGUCUUAUCUCCUUGUGCUUACAAGGAGCAGAUCGAAGACAUAGCUGAUUUGGCUUUCACGUGUUUACGUUGAAGCAGAUCCAAGAUGAUUUGGCAUCUCUGUAUCAAGCGGGGAGCAGAUCGAAGACAUAGCUGAUUUGGCUUUCACGUGUUUACGUUAAAGUAAAUCCAAGAUGAUUUGGCGUCUCUGUAGCGGCGGAGAGCAGAUCGAAGAUAACAGAUUUGGCGUCUCUGUAGCGGCGGAGAGCAGAUCGAAGAUAACAGAUUUGGCGUCUCUGUAGUGACGGAGAGCAGAUCGAAGAUAAUAGAUUUGGCGUCUUCGAUUUGGCAUCUCUGUAGCGGCAGAGAGCAGAUCGAAGAUAAUAGAUUUGGCAUCUCUGUAGCGGCAGGGAACAGAUCGAAGAUAACAAAUUUGGCGUCUCUGUAGUGGCGGAGAGCAGAUCGAAGAUAGCAGAUUUGGCGUCUCUGUAGCGGCGAAGGGCAGAUCGAAGAUAAUAGAUUUGGCGUCACUGUAGCGGCGGAGAGCAGAUCAAAGAUAACUGAUUUAGCAUCUCUGUAGCGGCGGAGAGCAGAUCGAAGAUAACGGAUUUGACGUCUCUGUAUUGUCAAGAGAGCAGAUCAAAGAUGACAGAUUUGGCGUCUCUGUAUUUGCAGAGAGCAGAUCAAAAAUAAUAGAUCAGUGUUUCUGAGUUUUCAAGGAGCAAGUUGAAGAUAGCAAAUUUGACACUCCUGAAGACAUCAGAAUACUUUUAGGGAAGAUGAGGAGCAAGAUUUUGAGGUUUAGCCAGACCGGGCAAAUUUGGUCCUUUUUAUAGUCUUUGCUCCAUUCUCGUUACACGAUAAUGAGCAAAGAGGGGUAGCUGUAAGGCCCAAAUUUUACCCGGGACCCAAUAAAACCAAACCCAAAUUAACCUAGCCCAUUAUCCAGUUACAAGUCCAAACCCAAUUUUGGCCCAACCUAAUCCCAUUACACUAGCCCAACCCAAACACAAAAAAAAAACUAGCCACCAAAGUCUGUCACCACCCACACCUCCACUUGCUUCACUUGCACCUGCAAAAUAGAAAAAGGAGAAAAGACAACAACAAAUAAUAAUAAAAUUUGUAAAAAAGGGAUGGCUAUAAGAAAGCCAACCGAAAAUCAAUAAGAAAAGGGGGGAUUUUGGAUUCUAUCUCAUUUUUUCGGCUAAAAAUAGAAGCCGAAAAGAAAUCGUAAAAGGGGGGAUCCCCAUUAUUGUACGCAGGAUUUGAGAAAUAAAAGAAAAAAAACACAAAGAAAAGGUGGAUUUCCGAUCGUAUUAUCUUGGUUUUCAUUUUGUUCUUUAGUUUCUUUUUUAUUUCUUUUUUAUUUUUGUUUACAAAUCUAUUAAACGAAAGUGGGCAUAAUAAAAAAAGAGAGGAGAAGAGAGUCUUACCGGAUCCACCCCGGGGUUGUGUCGCUGGAGUUUUCUUUUCCGUCGUCAGAAUCGACGCAAGGAGAAGGUGGGGGGUUCUUUCUCUUUUGUUUUCUUUGGUAUAGAGAGGCCUUACCAUUGAAUCUCCCUUUAAAAGUGCCAAAAACCCGGUUCCAUGAGGCUUUGAACCACUGUUUACGGUGGAAGCCACGGCGGGCUCACGAUGGUUUGGUGACAGUUCAAAAGGGGGAAGGUAGAAAACCUAGCAGAGAAAAGAAAAGAAGUUGAGGAGAAGGGGCUGCUCUCUUUAUUUAUUUCUGCUGAAUGAAUAAAAUGGGGGGUGAAUGUUUUAAGGAAAAAAAAGGUUUUUUUUAAAAAAAGGGAUAUGGGUGUUCUAAAAGUUUUUUUUUUUUUAAAAAAAAGGGGCCACUGUUCUUUAAUUUUAAUUGCUUUUGGGGAAAGGAAAAAGAUGGCCUGCGCAUGGACAGUUGGUUCUGCGCAUGUUCCCCUUAAAUGGGUAAUUUGCGCGGCCAGUCCUUCCUAUUUUGCGUUACCUUUAAUUUGUCCCUAUUAUGUUUAUUUCAUUUUUCUCCAAAAGUUUGCACGAUGUUUUAGUUUGGUCCGCGCCUAACCAGUGCUUUUGGUGAUUUGGGUCAUUUUCAAUUUUGAUCCCCGAGCAUUUGUGCGCGUUUUAUUUCGGCCCACAAUUUUGUUUAUAAAUUAUCCCUUUGGUUUUGUUGUGCUUACAAUGAAGUUUUUUUCCUUAAGAAAUAAGAGCAUAUUAUUUUAGCAUAUAAUCUUGUAUUGUUUUGAUGAUUUCGUUGUUUUUUUUUAUGUGCAUAUUUUUUUUUCUUUUCUUUUUUCAAAUACUUUCGUAUAUUAUCAUUAUCUCUUUUAUAUAUAUAUAUAUAUAUUAUAUUAGGUUUAUUAAUUUCAUAUAUUAUUUACUUAAAUGUUGUACAUAUAUCACUUUGCAUAUUGCUAAAUCUUUUUGAAACUUCAUUUAUGUAUUAUAUAUAUAUUUGAUGCAUCUCAAAUUUCCAUGUAAAUUAUUUUAUGGCAUUUAUUUUAAAAUUCAUUCGUAUGAUAUUAUUUAAUUUAUUACUUAUUUAUAUUUUUCUAUUUAUUUUAAAAGUUUUAUAUUCAUUAUUUGUUUUAAAGUCUUUGUAUUACUUUUAUACUAGUGUUCUUUUAAAAUUUCCUUUCUUCCCUAUUGUUCAUUUUAUUUUAAAAAUUGAUAUUUUAUUUGAGUAAUUUGCUUAGAACUUCUUUUAAGUUGGCUUUUAAUUCAUUAGCUUAUAAUUAUUAACAUUUGUAUUUAUAUAUUUGUUCCUUCAUGUUUUUGUAUCAUUCUUGAUUAUUCAUGUAAUGUUAUUGUCCCAAAUUUUUAUUUCUGGCUCAAUACUAAGCUUGCAUGCUCUUUAUUGCAUCAUGUUUUUUUAAUUCCAACUUCUUUCUCAACGUCAAUUGUUUUUAUCUCUAAAUAAUCAAACAAGUAUAUUGACUCAUAUUUUUGCAAUUGUAUUUGAAACUUCACAAAUCAAGGCAAUGUUUCGUGUUUGGAAAUUCGGGAAAUAGUUGUGUCCUAACUCACUAGAUAUGACAUUUUGUUACCUCGAAAUAAGAUUUUUCGCAAGUAAAGGCAAUAUUAGAUGUUUGGCAAUUCGGAAAAUCGUGCCCUAUCGUGCUGGGUUACAAUUUACUAUUUGUUCGAAACAAUCGAAUAUUCCUUCGGUGUUCCACUCAUGUCUUUUAAAAAAUUUCAUUAAAACGAAAGAGAUGUUCGAUAUUUAGCAAUUCAUGGAAUCGUGCCCUAACGUGUUGGGUUGCAAUUUCUCGUUUGCUCAAAAUAAUCGAAUGUCUUUUUAGAAUUUCAUUCAUGUUUUCUAAAAAAAAAAACUUAUAAAGGAAAUGUUCGGUAUUUAGCAGUUCGGGGAAUAGUACCCUAUCGUGCUGGGUUGCAAUUUCCUAUUUGCUCAAAAUAAUCGAAUAUCUCUCCGGAAUUUCACUCGUAUCUUCCAAGGUGAGGCAAUGGUCAAUGUUUAGAAAUUCGAGGAAUCGUGCCCUACUGUGCUGGGUAUCGAUUUUUUGUUAGACCAAAUAGUUGGGCAUCCUUUUGUUAUUUUCGAAUUACAAAUUUUCGAACGUCGAAACAAGAAGAUUUUUGGCAAUAGACUCGAGUUAUUCAAAUGUUAUUAACAAGAACCACAUUUCAAAAACAUUUUUAAUUUUAGACAAAAGGACAGUAUUUACUCAAUUUGGUACCAAUUUUGGGCGUAAUGAGGGUGCUAAUCCUUCCUCAUACGUAACCGACUCCCGAGCCUAUUUUCUCAUAUUUUCGUAGACCAAAAUCAUUGUUUUAAUAAACAAAAAUAUUUUAUUAAAACAACCCAAAUUUCUAGGUGAUCCGAUCACACCUAAACAAAAAAAGAUUGGUGGCGACUCUAUUUUCGCUUUCCAAAAAGUCGAUCCAUCAUUUUUAAAACGAAAUAAAAAAAUGGUUUCGACAUUUGCAAAACUUAGUGAGAAAUAUUCACUCUCUCUAACAGUUGCAACAAGUAAACCUAAUCUAUCACAUAUUUCUUGAUAAUUCUUCUCACUUUCAAAUCUUGAAGAACAAUACUUUCACCAUUAAGUUUACCCCUGUGAAUUCAACAAGUAAAAUUACAACACAACUUAUUGUAUUAACAAUUUGUGCUCUAAGAAAAGUUCCCUAACAUAAAUAAAAUAAGUGCUAAAAGUUCUUAGUACAAAAACCUAUACAAAUCUCCAUUAAAUAGAUCUAUGUUUGAAACUUACUAACGUAAAAGGUCUAUAACAAUUUCAUUUAAACAAUAAUAUAAUAACAUAUUUAGAAUAAUAGAGAAUAAACCAAAUAUGGACUCUUGGCAACUAAUCUCAUAGCGUGUCAAUCCAAUCUAAAUUUCUAUGUUACAAGAGAUUGUCUCGGGUGAUUUAAUUCGAUCUAAUGAUAUUUUAGCACAUUAAAUAUUUUUUACAGUUUAAAAAUAAUAAAGUAGAUUAUAUAUUUUUAUAAUAUUAUAUAUUUUGAUUUUUUAAUUCAUAUAAUAAUAAUUAUAUUAAGAAUGUUAAUAAAUUAUAUUUUUUAUUAAAUUAUAUUUAAUAAUAAUUAUGUUAAAAUAUGAUUAAAUUAUUUAUUAUUUUUAUUAAAUUGUUUUCAAUAAUAAUCUUAUUAAAAUUUAAUAACAAUAACAAUAAUCAUCUACCUAAAAAAAAUUCUGCUAAGGGUAUUCUAGUCAUUUUGGUUUUUUUCCUUAUGCUAUUAUAACAUUAUUAUAUUCAACCAAACACAAGAAUACUAUUACAGUUCUAUUCUAUUCCAUUCAAUCAAACAGUUGAAUUACUGAUUACAGCUUUAUUCUAUUACAACUCUAUUCAAUUACAACUCUAUUCAAUUACAGCCAUAUUCCAUUACAGUGAACCAAACGUAGCAUAAGGAUUUUUGGGGCGUUACAUGAAUAGUAUUAUACACCAUGAACAUGCAUGUCUUAUAAAAUAUUUAAGUUGUAAUGUUUUGUACUACUUUUAAGAGUCUGUUAUAAAUAACAAACGUUUGAUUCAAAUUUUUUUGACUUGGAAAAUAUAUUUAAAUAAUAAUAAUAAAUACAUCUAGGUUAGUUUUCGUCAAUUGUAAAAUUUUAUUAAGUAUGUAAGUAUCGUGACAUCUUAUAUUUGGAUCCGAUAAAUCAAGUCAAAUAUAAAAUAUUACAGAGUAAACUUAUCUCGCCUCAUCUCACUAUAUUUACAAAACUACCCCUAGUAUAUAUACAUAUUAAGUUACGUUAAAUCCAAGAUGAUCUCCUACUCGUGUCGUCUACCCAGCUCCCAUCUACUAGUACAUUCUUUCCCAGCGGUAAUUCUCUCCCUAACUAACUAUUGCUAAAAAAAUUUAUUUUGAAUCUCCUUUUUACACAUUAAAAUGGGGAUUAUAGUAUUUACUUAAUUUUUCGGUAAUAUAUUAGGAAUUACGAUAAUGGAAAAACUAAUCUUAUUGCUCCAAAAUUGGCCAAAGCAAAUAGUUGUUUGAUAAACUUUAGAAAGAUAUAUAUAUAAAAAUAGAUUUGGUGGAGAUCGGACCCUUUAUAAAAUAUUGUGCUCUUUCUUUAGGUAAAGAUCGGGACAUGAUAGUAUAGCUUGGAUUGCCUCACCUCCUUACAAAAUUAUAUGACAAUUUCAGUGUAUGACACUUGUUCCUAGGUGCAUUAAUGCAUAAUUUGAAAUGGAGUACAAGGUCAAUAAUCUUUGUUUAAGUAUAUCCAUCAGCAUAUCCUACUUUCUUUGGCAAACAAAAAAUAGUUGUUUUUUAGAAGUGGCACUCUAUCAACUAAGUCAAUAUGUGCAUCAUCAAGAAGAGCUGUUCAUUGACUUACUAAUCUCCAUAGCCUUGAUUUUGGUUACUUGUUAUUUACUUCUAUCUUUAAUUGUUUGCGCUAUUCUUCACACAAAUUUAGGCAUACUAAAUUCCGGGUGGAGAUCCAAAAAUACUUUAUUGGCUAUCACAUGCAUGAAUAAAUGUAAUUUAAUUUUACAAGGAGAAAAACGGCACCAUCACAAUAUGAUGCAAGGCUCAAGUCAACAGUAUUUUAUAUACCCAACUUUGGCCCCACAAAACUUUAUUUAUUUACUAGUUGGCAGUCUUAGCAAGAUUUGAGUGUCCAAAUUCCUAAAAAAUUUCAAGCUGUUUGGCCCUUUAAUCUUUAAAAAAUUCAUUUUAUUUUUUAUUUCAUUUUUCAUUUUUUUAACUCUUAAAUUUAUAUAUUUUUUUAAAUCACUUUAAAAUAAAUAAAAAAAUUAAUGUUUGUUAACUUUGUUAAUAUAGCAUACACGUGGAUUGCCAUGUCAACAUUUAAUUAAUUUUUUAAAUUCAAAAAAUUAUAAAAAAAUAUAUUUUUAAAAUUUAAAAAUAAUUAAAAUUAUUAAAAAGUAUAAACCUAUAAAAAAAUUUUAAAAUUUUUAAAUUAAAAAAAUUAACUAAAUACGGAUAUAUCAUUCAUGUGGCAGUGUACGUGUAUUGAAGGAUAAAAAAAUUAUUAUGCCAAAAUUGACAUCACAACAUUUUUAUAUACAUAUCAAAUUUUGGAUAACAUACCAGCUGGUUCUCAAGUCCGUUUAAAAUUUUCCUUUUUUAUGAUUUUUGUAAAUAAAAUUGAGAUUUUUUUGGUAUUUUCGCUCUUGUUGUUGAACUACAUGUAUUUUUUAAAAUAAAAUUUUAUUUUUUUAAUUUCUAGAAAUUUUUUAUUAUUAUCGUAUUUUUUCUGAUUUUUAUAUAUAUAUUUUGGAGAUUUUUCUAAAUUUGUUUGACAAUUUUUUUUGUAUUUUCGCUCUUUUUAUAUUUUAUUUAUUUUUUAAAAAUAAAAAUAAAAAUCUUUUUAAUUUAUGAGAAUUUUAUAUAUUUUUCUUAUUUAUAGAAAAAAGAUAUUUUUUUAGCUAUUUUUUUCUGAUUUUUUUAAUUUAGUCAAAAGAAAAUACAAACCCGGGGACAUGACAAACUAAUAAAAAAAUAUGCUAACUGAGUGCAAUUUUAGGAGUAAAUAAUAUAUUAACCCUAAAAAAGUGGUUUUAGGGAAAAGUUAAAAGUUCCAAAUAGCGAAUGUGCAUAUCGUUGAGUGAAGGAUUAGCGGGUAAUUGUGGGCAUGGAGUUUUAAUGAAAGUAGCUGAGGAGCGGUUGAACGCAAGGCAAUGUUAGAUUUAAGUAAGGUGUGGAUCGCUGUUUCUAAUAAUGGGAAACAUUGAAAUGAUAGUUGAAGACCUUUUUUGUGAAGCUUUGGCUGGUUCAGUUUGCAGUGUUGAAGAGUCACUACCCUCAUUCAUUCCUUUGACUAAGAAAUGGUAAUGUUCACUUGCAAAACCCAACAACAAAUGCCAUAUGCCACUCUCAUACACCCUUUUAACUCAAAUUUUUCUUGAAAUAAGUGAAUAUUUUAACCAGUAAAUAAGGGCGAAAUCAAAAAUUUGGAUCCGAACUUAAAUUGUUUUUUUAAUAGUUUAUAUAUUUAUAAUUUUUAAAAAAUUAAAUUAAAUUUUUAUUAUUUUUAGAGAGUUAGAAUAUGAUUUUAGCUUUACUAAUUUAAAUUUUUAAAAUUUCAAAAUCGAUAAUUUUCUAUUUUUAGAAGAUGCAAAUUAGUUGCCGUUAAAUUAUAAAUGGGCAACCUGAGUCAAGAAAAACCUCUAUGGGUUAAAUUUUUUUUAUUCUAUUAAAAAUAUUUUUAUUAAAUAAAUAAUAAUUUUUUGAACCAUAAUAGAUGGUAAAUUAAAUUACUUUAUGUUUAUUGGAGUACAAAUUUUACUUUACAUUUAAAGUAUUAUGUUUUCAUUAUUAAUAAAAAAGUAAAAAGAAAAAAUAUAUAUUAUUUUUGUUUUAAAAAGCAAAUUUUAAUUAUUUAUGCAAUAAAAUUUUAUAAACAAUAAAUCUAAUAUAUUACAAUGCAUAAAUCUCAAAACUAUACAUGGACUUUAGUUUAAUGUGUAAUUUUAUAUACGAAAUUUUGAUUUGAUUCAAUUCUCACGAAUAAUUAACACAAUUAAUUGAUAUAGCAUCAUUUUAUGAUUAUAUAUUGCAUAUAUAUAUAAUUAUAUUUAUCCAAUAUAGAAAUAAAUUUGUGUAGUUAUUUUUUAAAAUGUUUGUAAUUGAAUCAAAAUCAAAGUUUUAUGUGUAUAAAUGUACCGAACCGAAAUUCAUGUAUCAAAUUGCACAUUGAAUUAAAGUUCAUGUAUAAUUUUAAAAUUUAUCCCUAUAAUAUAAUUAUAUUAAUUAAUUAUUAUUUUAAAUAAUAUUGUCUUUCAUUAAUUAUUAUGAAAUAACUGUGUUAUACAUUAUAAGCAAUGAAAAUGCUUUAAUUAUAUUUAAAUUUUUAUUAUAAUGAUUGAAUUAUUAAACAAGUUAAUAUAUUUUAAUUAUAUCCAACAUUUCAAUUUGCCAAUAUUAUUUUAUACUAAUUAAAAAUAUUUUCUUUAUAUUCCCAAAUUUAAAUAUUUUUAUUUACUCUAAUUUGGGGAGGAAAACUAGUAAAAGGAAAGUAAAACAAAAUUUUAAGGUGUAGAAUGUCUUUUUAGUCUUUCAUUAAUAAUUGGGUAAAUUACAUUGCUGGUCACUAAACUAUGCAAAAAUAUCUUUUUUGGUCACUCAAUUUUUAAAACUUUCAAAAUGGUCACACGACUAAUCAAAUUUAUUCUUUUUAGUCUAUCUCCUAUUAAUGACAUUAACUAUUUGAUAGGAGGGUGUGGUGACAGUCCAAAAUUGAGUGUAAUAAUAAAUUUAGUCCUUAAUUUUUAUUAAAUAUUAUGUUAAUUUAUUCACAAUUUAAAAAAAGGAUAGGACACGAGAUACCCAAACAUGAAGUAAUUCAUUGAAUGACUUUUACAACAGGCUGAACCGGCGAUAAUUGCAGCCACCGGAACUGGUACUAUAUCGGCUAACUUUCGAACCUUAAUGUUUCACAGGGUCCACGCUUUCAGUUCCGCCUUCAAAGUCUGCUCCUCACCUUCUCGUCAUCGCCACCAUCACCUGUAUGAAGAAGGGUUUGCUCGUAGGGCUUUAGAUUAAUGUAUUAUUUUAAAUAAAAUACAAUGUAAUUUAUACAUUUUUUAAAAUUUAUUUUAUUUUUGAAAAUCUGUUAUUUUUAUUUUUAUUUUUUUAAGAAUUAAGAGCAAUUUGAGAAAAUUUGUAAUGUUGAGAGUAACUUUUUUAAAACUAUGACUAAAUUGGUAUAAUAUGUAAAAAUUAAGGAAUAAAUUUAUUAUUAUACCAUUGAAUUAUCAUAUCACCAAUAAAACAUGGAUAAAAAAGAAUAAAUUUGAUUAGUUUAGUGAUCAUUUUGAAAGUUUUAAAAUUUUGAUGACAAAAAAAGAAAAAUCUGAGCAUAAUUGGUGACCUAUAGUAUAAUUUACCAUAAAUUUAUGAAAAGUUAUAAUUAUACAAAUUAUAAUCCUUUCCUAUAAAUUAUUUAUCUAAACAAAAAUAUUAAAUUAGAGUGGAUUUGAAUGGAUGAUACAUUUACCUAUGGUUAGUGUAAAAACAAUGAUGAUAGUGAGAUUAAAUACUAUAGCACAAGAGAGAAAGUAAACUAAAUGCAGCACAAUACAUCUUACCAUCCAUCAAAACUCAGCCUUACUCUUUUAUUCAAACUAGAUUUGUUUAUUAGUCAAAUCACCUGCUUGAAAAAUAAAAAUGUUAAGACAAAAACAUAAUAUCUAAAAAAAUGAACUUGGGUAUAAUUUAAGGCCAUAUUUGGCCUAACCCAACCCAACACAAAUAUAUUAUAUUAUAAAUAUAAAAUAAUAAUUAUAUAUUUAUAUUCAAUCAUUAAUCCAAUAAUAAUUAAAUCAUUAUUCAAAGCCCAAAAAAAAACUUACCCAAUAAAAUAAUCCAACUCAAAUAUAACUUUUUAAAAUAUAUAUUUAAUGCAAUAAAAUAUUUAUUAUAUUUAUAAUAAUAUUUUUUUAAUAUAAAUGCUUUUCUUAAUGUAUUUUUAAUGUAUUGAAAAACUUAUAUUUUAUUAUUUUUAGUGCAUUUAGUAUAUUAUUUUUUCAAAAAAAUAUUUUCAAAUAAAUUAAUCUAAAAAGAAUCAAAUAUGAACAAACCAAGUCGGAUCCAUAUCUACCUUCUUAUUUUUUAAAAUUAAGCAAAACUUGAAAAAAAUUUUAAACCUAUUUUUCAAGUCAGGCCAAACUCUCUUAGAUGGACCCAACUUAAAUCUGGCCUAAAUGUACCCAACUUAAAUCUGACCUAAAUCUAACCCAACCCAUUUGAUAUAGUCACUUACUUUUCUUUAGCUUUCCACUCUUUUAAUCCAAUAGUGUUAAGAGUAACUCGAAUCAGAUGACCAAAAAUACAACAUUUAAAAAAUGCGAAGUUCAUAACACUGCAGGAAAAGAAACAGCCUCCAGAUAAAAGAGAAAAUGAAAAUGCAAAAGCCUUGUAAACUCGGUAUCACAGUUCUUGACUAGCAUGUAAGCUUCAAAGCAUACUUAUCAAUCACUUUCAAAAGUUGAAUAAAUGCUCCUACAGAAUCUGCCCGCACAUGUUUGCCAGGUCGGCUUGCAGAUUCACAAAAAUAGCUAAGAAAGAAAAAUACAGUGAACUAAUUUUGAGCUUCAAACGUGGUCCUUUUGAGGCGAUAACAUCCCCUGGAUUGUUGUCCUCCUUAAUCACCAAUAAGCUCUAGCAAUCAACACUGAAAACCGCAAGCAUAAGACACAACUGACACAGCAAGCAGACAAUCAAAGACAAAGCAUCCACACAAUAUAGCAAGUACAACAACGAAGAGUUGCUCCACAAAACAAAUGAUUGCUUCAAUACAUAAGCAACUAAUAAAGUUCUUGAAAUUUGAAAUUUGCAUGCCAUACAACAUACCACCAAAUCAAAAAGAUAUUUCCAAUAUAACCCCAGAUGAACUAUAUAGAUUUGAAGGAUUUCAAAUUGAACAAAAUGUUGUAGGGAAGUGGCUAAACAAUUCUAACCUCUUAAAAUUUUAUGAGCAAUGGUAAAAUAGAAAAGAAAAUUGAACAUCAUUAAGGGAGGAUAAGAUAACAUGAAAAGCCAAGUUUCAUAUGAUUACAAACGCUUUGUAUAUUAAAAAAAAAGAAAGAAAAUCAAGUUAUAAAUACUAGUAUAUGGUACUGUGGUUAACUCAAUAAUAUUUGGAUCCAUACAACAUGCCAAGUACUAACAUAAGAAUAAGGGAAAUUAACUUGCAUGGAAGUCUUUGAGAUAAUAGUCUAGUGGAACACCACAAAAUGCAGAGGAAUAUAUUAAGAAAAAUCCCAAGGAACCAUUACCAUUAAGUUUGUGUCUCAGUCUCUUUUGCCUCAACAUCAUUUGUAGUGCCAUUCGGCUCCCCAGCUUCAGUAUCCUCCGUCGGUGGCUGAACCUGCUCCUCUUCUGGCAAUGGUUCUUCCACGUAAUCAUUCUCAAAAGCAUCAGCUGGGACCUCAUAAAUCCUAACUUGAGGCUUUGAUGGAUCCUUCACAAGCACAUAUUUCCCCUCAUUCAACUUCAUACACAAAUCCACAAUGGACUUCACAAUCCCCCACAUAUUAGCAGUAUUCAGAUUAAUUUGUGCAGCAAAAUCCCUUGGCUUAUAACCAACAACACCCAAUAUCACAUGGUUAAAAUGAUCCCUAGGAUGAACCCUCGAAACAUAACCCAAUUUCAUCAAAUCGGCACUAGCUAAAAUUGAUUGAGCAGUCCAUUUAGCCAACUUAUUCGCAUUGUUCUUCAACUCGGUAGCCAAGACUGCCCCCCUUUGUGUUUCCAACUUCUGCCUCCAAUCAACACCAGAAUACUUGGGAUCAAACUCAUUAAGCGCAUUCAAAGUGAGGAAAGACUUUUGAUUAUUAACCUCAACAACACUCUGAACCUCACACCGUGCAAUCAAAUACAUAUCAUUAUCAAGUUUCCACCUCCUAUACCGAUAUGCCACAGAAGCCACCUCAUCACCUUCAUUGGCAAAUGGGUUCAGCUCAUCAAAACUAACCUUAUUCCCAUCCCUAACCAAAACCUGCUGUGAAAAAUUCUGAUUUAUGUAAGCUGCUUCAACACUCAAUGAAUAAGCAGAGUUAAUAUCAUCUUUAGCUUCAGGCAAUGGCUCCUGAGAGGUCUCGUGGACCGAUAGCAAAUCUAACUGUGACCCAUCUCUUUUGUCGAAAAAUAGUUUAUUCCCAACACGUUGAAUCACAAUGUCCCAAGAAUAAACUGACCUGGGUGCACACAUUAACGUUGCCAGAAUCGUAUCAGUGGCGAAAACAGUUGCUUUGUCCUCAUUUGCCAAUCUUCGGAUCACCGGGUCGUCAGUCGUGGUGACUUUAAAGAAGUUUCUGUUCUUGAACCUCUCGAGUCUCCGUUCGUUCUUCGGGGUAAUUCGAUCAAAGGACCGAUCGUAAUACUCUAAAGCACCGCAGAGAAGUAAAUCUUCAGGUUCUGGAACGGAAAAGGAUAAUUUGGAGAAUGUUGAGAAAGGGAUUUGAUCCAGCAUGUUCCACUCUGGUUGGAUAUCGACGGAGGAUUUGAAAAUCGCAGCUUCACGACGUUGCUGGUUCUGGUUCGAUCGGUUGAGAUUAUAAAGACGGUCACGUCGGGCUCGUUCUUUUUCAGCUUCUCUUUUACGGGCCUCAACUUCUUCAUCUCGCCGUUGAGGAAGUUGAGGUCGGUGUUGGUUGAAGCGCCACUUGGGGCCAAAUUUAGGUCGAGUAGGCGGCUUUGCGUCGACUAAACGAAAGGAAGAAUCGUCUUCGGGGUUUGCAAGAGGGAAAGUAUCGAGGUCGAGCGAGAAAUCGAAGGGGGACUCUGAGGAGGCUGCGCCAGGCUUCCCUGAAGAAGGGCGGUUAGAUGGAUUGGCAUUUGCAAAAGAUCGGGUGAAGUCGGCGAUUCGGCCGAGUUUUUCAGAGCGGGAGAAGGGAGCGAAAGGAACGUGAAGAGGGAGAGUGGUGGUGGUGG
rnacentral:lncRNA from 1 species